rnacentral:rRNA from 1 species
UGGGGAAUCUUCCGCAAUGGACGAAAGUCUGACGGAGCAACGCCGCGUGAGUGAAGAAGGCUUUCGGAUCGUAAAACUCUGUCUUUUGGGGCGAACGUGAGUAUGGUGAACAAUCAUAGUCAGUGACGGUACCAAAGGAGGAAGCCACGGCUAACUACGUGCCAGCAGCCGCGGUAAUACGUAGGUGGCAAGCGUUGUCCGGAAUUAUUGGGCGUAAAGAGCGCGUAGGCGGGAUAGUCAGUCUGUUGUAAAGUGCGGGGCUCAACCCCGUGAUCGCAAUGGAAACAGCUAUUCUUGAGUGCAGGAGAGGAAAGUGGAAUUCCCAGUGUAGCGGUGAAAUGCGUAGAUAUUGGGAGGAACACCAGUGGCGAAGGCGACUUUCUGGACUGUGUCUGACGCUGAGGCGCGAAAGCCAGGGGAGGCGAACGGGAUUAGAUACCCCGGUAGUCCUGGCCGUAAACGAUGGGUACUAGGUGUGGGAGGUAUCGACCCCUUCCGUGCCGGAGUUAACGCAAUAAGUACCCCGCCUGGGGAGUACGGUCGCAAGACUGAAACUCAAAGGAAUUGACGGGGUCAUAGCUGUUUCCUG